GUGUGCUAUGUGGGUGAGGGUGUUUGUGUGCGCUUGUGAGGGUGCUGUUAAUGUACUGUGUGUGAGGGUGCUGUUUGUGUGUGAGGGUACUGGUAGUGUGCUGUGUGUGUGUUUGUUAGGGUCCUGCUAGUGUGCAGCAUGAGGGUGCUGUUUGUGUUUGUGAGGGUACUGUUAGUGUGCUGUGUGUGUGUGAGGGUGCUGUUUGUGUGCGGUGUGUGAGGGUGCUGUGUGUGU